CGGGACACGUGGUAUCCUGUCUGAAUAUGGGGGGACCAUCCUCCAAGGCUAAAUACUCCUGACUGACCGAUAGUGAACCAGUACCGUGAGGGAAAGGCGAAAAGAACCCCGGCGAGGGGAGUGAAAAAGAACCUGAAACCGUGUACGUACAAGCAGUGGGAGCACGCUUAGGCGUGUGACUGCGUACCUUUUGUAUAAUGGGUCAGCGACUUAUAUUCUGUAGCAAGGUUAACCGAAUAGGGGAGCCGAAGGGAAACCGAGUCUUAACUGGGCGUUAAGUUGCAGGGUAUAGACCCGAAACCCGGUGAUCUAGCCAUGGGCAGGUUGAAGGUUGGGUAACACUAACUGGAGGACCGAACCGACUAAUGUUGAAAAAUUAGCGGAUGACUUGUGGCUGGGGGUGAAAGGCCAAUCAAACCGGGAGAUAGCUGGUUCUCCCCGAAAGCUAUUUAGGUAGCGCCUCGUGAAUUCAUCUCCGGGGGUAGAGCACUGUUUCGGCAAGGGGGUCAUCCCGACUUACCAACCCGAUGCAAACUGCGAAUACCGGAGAAUGUUAUCACGGGAGACACACGGCGGGUGCUAACGUCCGUCGUGAAGAGGGAAACAACCCAGACCGCCAGCUAAGGUCCCAAAGUCAUGGUUAAGUGGGAAACGAUGUGGGAAGGCCCAGACAGCCAGGAUGUUGGCUUAGAAGCAGCCAUCAUUUAAAGAAAGCGUAAUAGCUCACUGGUCGAGUCGGCCUGCGCGGAAGAUGUAACGGGGCUAAACCAUGCACCGAAGCUGCGGCAGCGACGCUGAUGCGUUGUUGGGUAGGGGAGCGUUCUGUAAGCCUGUGAAGGUGUGCUGUGAGGCAUGCUGGAGGUAUCAGAAGUGCGAAUGCUGACAUAAGUAACGAUAAAGCGGGUGAAAAGCCCGCUCGCCGGAAGACCAAGGGUUCCUGUCCAACGUUAAUCGGGGCAGGGUGAGUCGACCCCUAAGGCGAGGCCGAAAGGCGUAGUCGAUGGGAAACAGGUUAAUAUUCCUGUACUUGGUGUUACUGCGAAGGGGGGACGGAGAAGGCUAUGUUGGCCGGGCGACGGUUGUCCCGGUUUAAGCGUGUAGGCUGGUUUUCCAGGCAAAUCCGGAAAAUCAAGGCUGAGGCGUGAUGACGAGGCACUACGGUGCUGAAGCAACAAAUGCCCUGCUUCCAGGAAAAGCCUCUAAGCAUCAGGUAACAUCAAAUCGUACCCCAAACCGACACAGGUGGUCAGGUAGAGAAUACCAAGGCGCUUGAGAGAACUCGGGUGAAGGAACUAGGCAAAAUGGUGCCGUAACUUCGGGAGAAGGCACGCUGAUAUGUAGGUGAAGCGACUUGCUCGUGGAGCUGAAAUCAGUCGAAGAUACCAGCUGGCUGCAACUGUUUAUUAAAAACACAGCACUGUGCAAACACGAAAGUGGACGUAUACGGUGUGACGCCUGCCCGGUGCCGGAAGGUUAAUUGAUGGGGUCAGCGCAAGCGAAGCUCUUGAUCGAAGCCCCGGUAAACGGCGGCCGUAACUAUAACGGUCCUAAGGUAGCGAAAUUCCUUGUCGGGUAAGUUCCGACCUGCACGAAUGGCGUAAUGAUGGCCAGGCUGUCUCCACCCGAGACUCAGUGAAAUUGAACUCGCUGUGAAGAUGCAGUGUACCCGCGGCAAGACGGAAAGACCCCGUGAACCUUUACUAUAGCUUGACACUGAACAUUGAGCCUUGAUGUGUAGGAUAGGUGGGAGGCUUUGAAGUGUGGACGCCAGUCUGCAUGGAGCCGGCCUUGAAAUACCACCCUUUAAUGUUUGAUGUUCUAACGUUGACCCGUGAUCCGGGUUGCGGACAGUGUCUGGUGGGUAGUUUGACUGGGGCGGUCUCCUCCUAAAGAGUAACGGAGGAGCACGAAGGUUGGCUAAUCCUGGUCGGACAUCAGGAGGUUAGUGCAAUGGCAUAAGCCAGCUUGACUGCGAGCGUGACGGCGCGAGCAGGUGCGAAAGCAGGUCAUAGUGAUCCGGUGGUUCUGAAUGGAAGGGCCAUCGCUCAACGGAUAAAAGGUACUCCGGGGAUAACAGGCUGAUACCGCCCAAGAGUUCAUAUCGACGGCGGUGUUUGGCACCUCGAUGUCGGCUCAUCACAUCCUGGGGCUGAAGUAGGUCCCAAGGGUAUGGCUGUUCGCCAUUUAAAGUGGUACGCGAGCUGGGUUUAGAACGUCGUGAGACAGUUCGGUCCCUAUCUGCCGUGGGCGCUGGAGAACUGAGGGGGGCUGCUCCUAGUACGAGAGGACCGGAGUGGACGCAUCACUGGUGUUCGGGUUGUCAUGCCAAUGGCACUGCCCGGUA
rnacentral:rRNA from 1 species